rnacentral:rRNA from 1 species
GAUGAACGCUGGCGGCGUGCCUAGUACAUGCAAGUCGAGCGAACGGACGAGAAGCUUGCUUCUCUGAUGUUAGCGGCGGACGGGUGAGUAACACGUGGAUAACCUACCUAUAAGACUGGGAUAACUUCGGGAAACCGGAGCUAGUACCGGAUAAUAUUUUGAACCGCAUGGUUCAAAAGUGAAAGACGGUCUUGCUGUCACUUAUAGAUGGAUCCGCGCUGCAUUAGCUAGUUGGUAAGGUAACGGCUUACCAAGGCAACGAUGCAUAGCCGACCUGAGAGGGUGAUCGGCCACACUGGAACUGAGACACGGUCCAGACUCCUACGGGAGGCAGCAGUAGGGAAUCUUCGGCAAUGGGCGAAAGCCUGACGGAGCAACGCCGCGUGAGUGAUGAAGGUCUUCGGAUCGUAAAGCUCUGUUAUUAGGGAAGAACAGAUGUGUAAGUAACUGUGCACAUCUUGACGGUACCUAAUCAGAAAGCCACGGCUAACUACGUG